AGAACGAACGCUGGCGGCAGGCCUAACACAUGCAAGUCGAACGGAUCCUUCGGGAUUAGUGGCAGACGGGUGAGUAACGCGUGGGAAGCUACCUUGUGGUAGGGAACAACAGUUGGAAACGACUGCUAAUACCCUAUGAGCCCUAUGGGGGAAAGAUUUAUCGCCAUGAGAUGUGCCCGCGUUAGAUUAGCUAGUUGGUAAGGUAAUGGCUUACCAAGGCGACGAUCUAUAGCUGGUCUGAGAGGAUGAUCAGCCACACUGGGACUGAGACACGGCCCAGACUCCUACGGGAGGCAGCAGUGGGGAAUAUUGGACAAUGGGGGCAACCCUGAUCCAGCCAUGCCGCGUGAGUGAUGACGGCCUUAGGGUUGUAAAGCUCUUUCAGCAGUGAAGAUAAUGACAUUAACUGCAGAAGAAGCCCCGGCUAAAUUCGUGCCAGCAGCCGCGGUAAUACGAAGGGGGCUAGCGUUGUUCGGAAUCACUGGGCGUAAAGCGUACGUAGGCGGACUGAUCAGUCAGGGGUGAAAUCCCGGGGCUCAACCCCGGAACUGCCUUUGAUACUGUCAGUCUUGAGAUCGAGAGAGGUGAGUGGAACUCCGAGUGUAGAGGUGAAAUUCGUAGAUAUUCGGAAGAACACCAGUGGCGAAGGCGGCUCACUGGCUCGAUACUGAC
rnacentral:rRNA from 1 species